GGCCGGAAAGAUGGAUUAAAUCAAAUAAGAGUUUUGAUAAGAGUGUGUAUAAGGGUCUGCAAUUUGAGAUGUCAAAAGCUGCGGCUGUACAAGCACAGCCAGGUCACAGCUCCUGUGAAAGAGCCGCAGGGGUUUCAACCAAGAGUGAGCUCUGUAAGAGUCCAGGGUGUGAAGUAGCCAACAGAAAAGGCUCCUUUGAUCUUCCCGUUGCAGUAGUUGCAUUAACAGAAGUAUAGUAUCUAUGUCAUGGCCCCUGGGGAGUAGAGGAGCAGCAGUGCCAACCUAUGUGAAGAACAGGUACUCAGGAACAGAGUGAAGCAUGUGGAGCAGAAAGGAGAGCAGCGAGGACAUUCACCGCCAGAAGCCCCUAAGGAACUCCAUCAGAACCUAUCAGCAUGUGACAAAUCAAACCAUAAGUGUGCCUGCCUGGUGAACUCAGCAGAGCCCGCUACAUGAGCUUUGUUUUACUAUGGACCACUUUCUCCCAGAACCAGCUAAGUGUCUCUCCUGAGAAGCCCUCCUGAGUUGUCCGGACUGACCACCUCUUCUCUGGGCCAACGGGGUCUCAAGCCCCCUCCAGCACUGUGAUCCUUGCACUGUGUCGUCAUGGCCUCUUUACUCCCGUCAAGUUCCUCCCCAGUUUCUGAGCCCCUUAGAAGGCGGAGAUCUCGUCCCAUCACAGUGUUUUUGGCUCUAACACGUCUGUCUGUCUCCUGUGAGGCGCUACAGACGCGCAACGCUGAGAGCUGCUCCUUGGGAGAAACCGUGGGAGUGACAGGUAGUCUGAAGUGAGGCAAAGGGACACCGUGGCUCUCGGGUGUAUCCCAGACUGUGACGGGCUGCCGGACCAGUUUCGAGAAGGAUCUGCUGUCAGCCUCCAGCCCUGCGAUCCCUAUGUGCUAACUGUUCACGGAAUGAUCCUGUGGUUUUGGAGGAAUCAGGCUCGAGGGAGGCAGAGAAAAGGAGCCAGGCGGAAUGGUAAGGAGCACUGGAAAAAUAGAAAGGGCUGACGAAGCUGACGGGCGAGCAAGGGCUGCGCGGUCUUCCUUUCUUCCGAACCACAAGGGACUGUGGCUCAGGCGCCCCGGCGCCAGGUGCGCGGACGCGCGCUUCCAGCGUGGGGCGGCCGGUGGCGGGGACCUGUCCUUGCUCUGCCACCCAAAGGUGUGGCAACUUCGGGUUGCCCAACUUUCCUAGGCGGGGAAGUAGUCCUUCAGGAAGUCUCUCGCCCCGUUUAGGAACCAUCACAGUUCCUUUUAUCUUGCCCAUCUGGCAGGUUCCAAUAGAACUAUUUUUCAAGCCAGCGAUAUUUACAGAGACAAGACGAGGCUGCUCCGUGGAGCCUAGGACGAUUUCAGCUGUUAAGGUAAUGAAGACAAUUGAAGAACAAAGCGGAAUUAGUGUCAUCGCAAAUGAUCCAGCGCCUCAAGUUAAUUUCACCGGGUUUUGUUUGAAGAGCCGCAGAAGUACUCCUCUUGCGUAGCAAGCUGCCACCAGAAAGAUUUUUUUCGAGCAUUUAGGAAAUAGAGUUCAAG
rnacentral:lncRNA from 1 species